AAAUUGAAGAGUUUGAUCAUGGCUCAGAUUGAACGCUGGCGGCAGGCCUAACACAUGCAAGUCGAACGGUAACAGGAAGCAGCUUGCUGCUUCGCUGACGAGUGGCGGACGGGUGAGUAAUGUCUGGGAAACUGCCUGAUGGAGGGGGAUAACUACUGGAAACGGUAGCUAAUACCGCAUAAUGUCGCAAGACCAAAGAGGGGGACCUUCGGGCCUCUUGCCAUCGGAUGUGCCCAGAUGGGAUUAGCUUGUUGGUGGGGUAACGGCUCACCAAGGCGACGAUCCCUAGCUGGUCUG
rnacentral:rRNA from 2 species